rnacentral:tRNA from 1 species
GGCGCGGUGGCCUAAUUGUUAGCGCGUUGGCCUCCGGAUCGAGUGGUCCAGGUUCGAGCGCUGGCCUGGGCCA